AUUGAACGCUGGCGGCAGGCCUAACACAUGCAAGUCGAGCGAGCGGCGGACGGGUGAGUAAUGUAUGGGGAUCUGCCUGAUGGAGGGGGAUAACUACUGGAAACGGUAGCUAAUACCGCAUACCAUCAAAUAAACCCAUAUGGGGUUCGCUUGUGGGUGAGGUAACGUCUCACCGAGGCAACGAUCCCUAGCUGGCUGGAGAGGAGGAUCAGCCACACUGGAACCGAGAAACGGCCCAGAUUCCUACGGGAGGCAGCAGUGGGGAAUAUUGCACAAUGGGCGCAAUCCUGAUGCAGCCAUGCCGCGUGUAUGAAGAAGGCCUUCGGGUUGUAAAGUACUUUCAGGCGGGAGGCGUUACCCGCAGAAGAAGCACCGGCUAACUCCGUGCCAGCAGCCGCGGUAAUUC
rnacentral:rRNA from 1 species